rnacentral:tRNA from 1 species
UGUAAGAUAAGCUAAUAGCUAAGCUAUUGGGCUCAUAACCCAAAAAUGAACAUUUGUUCUCUUACAA